UACGAAGGGGGCUAGCGUUGCUCGGAAUUACUGGGCGUAAAGGGCGCGUAGGCGGAUAGUUUAGUCAGAGGUGAAAGCCCAGGGCUCAACCUUGGAAUUGCCUUUGAUACUGGCUAUCUUGAGUUCGGGAGUGGUGAGUGGAAUGCCGAGUGUAGAGGUGAAAUUCGUAGAUAUUCGGCGGAACACCAGUGGCGAAGGCGACUCACUGGCCCGAUACUGACGCUGAGGCGCGAAAGCGUGGGGAGCAAACAGG
rnacentral:rRNA from 1 species